rnacentral:rRNA from 1 species
AAUCAUGGCUCAGAUUGAACGCUGGCGGCAGGCUUAACACAUGCAAGUCGAGCGGGGAGAUGUAGCUUGCUACAUUUCCUAGCGGCGGACGGGUGAGUAAUGCUUAGGAAUCUGCCUAUUAGUGGGGGACAACAUUCCGAAAGGAAUGCUAAUACCGCAUACGCCCUACGGGGGAAAGCAGGGGAUCUUCGGACCUUGCGCUAAUAGAUGAGCCUAAGUCAGAUUAGCUAGUUGGUGGGGUAAAGG